CCCAGACUCCUACGGGAGGCAGCAGUGGGGAAUAUUGCACAAUGGGGGAAACCCUGAUGCAGCAACGCCGCGUGAGUGAAGAAGUAUUUCGGUAUGUAAAGCUCUAUCAGCAGGGAAGAAGAAAGACGGUACCUGACUAAGAAGCCCCGGCUAACUACGUGCCAGCAGCCGCGGUAAUACGUAGGGGGCAAGCGUUAUCCGGAUUUACUGGGUGUAAAGGGAGCGUAGACGGCUGUGCAAGUCUGAAGUGAAAGCCCGUGGCGCAACCGCGGAACUGCUUUGGAAGCUGUAUAGCUUGAGUACUGGAGAGGCAGGCGGAAUUCCGAGUGGAGCGGUGA
rnacentral:rRNA from 1 species